GAUGAACGCUGGCGGCGUGCCUAAUACAUGCAAGUCGAGCGAACAGAUGAGGAGCUUGCUCCGCUGACGUUAGCGGCGGACGGGUGAGUAACACGUGGAUAACCUACCUAUAAGACUGGGAUAACUUCGGGAAACCGGAGCUAAUAGCGGAUAAUAUAUUGAACCGCAUGGUUCAAUAGUGAAAGACGGUUUUGCUGGCACUUAUAGAUGGAUCCGCGCCGCAUUAGCUUGUUGGGAAGGUAACGGCUUACCAAGGCAACGAUGCGUAGCCGACCUGAGAGGGUGAUCGGCCACCCUGGAACUGAGACACGGUCCAGACUCCUACGGGAGGCAGCAGUAGGGAAUCUUCCGCAAUGGGCGGAAGCCUGACGGAGCAACGCCGCGUGAGGGAUGAGGGUCUUCGGAUCGUAAAACUCUGUUAUUAGGGAAGAACAAAUGUGUAAGUAACUAUGCACGUCUUGACGGUACCUAAUCAGAAAGCCACGGCUAACUACGUG
rnacentral:rRNA from 1 species